CCUUCCCAGCAACUUCCUUCUUGUCAAACAACACAACUAUUUUCCUUUACACAUCUCCUCACAAUGAACUAGCUUAACCUAUACUCUUCUCUGAUCUGUGCAUGCUUCUUCUUCUUCUUCUGAAUACUGCCUCAGCAAGCCAGCACUUGAAGAACAUCAAUAGCUGAAUCCAGGUAUAUUAUUUAAUUAGUAGAAGGUGUCAUUAGCUCAUAAAUGUAGCUGAAUCCAGGUACAAUACUAGAAGGUGUCAUUAGCUCAUAAAUGUAGGGGUUUGUUACUCUCGUCAAAUAAAAUCAUUUGGCUUCAAAUGAGGACAAUCAUAUCAUGAGAUUUCCUUCGAAUAAAUAAUCAUAUAAUUCAAGAAAACCUUCAUGGUACUGUCAAGAAAUGGGAUGGAAUGAAAAAUGUAAUGAUAGAAUAAGAAAGGGAUAAUUUAAGACUCAAAGAUUCACUCACUUGAGAAGGAAUCACUCACUUCUUUAAUGGUUUUUCAGGGAAUCGCUCACCUAAAGAUUGCUUUUAGCGUUCCACCACACAAUUCCUCAAAUAACAUGAUUUUAUAGUAAACAAGCAUACAUAGCUAAUCUAAACUCAAAUAAAUAUUCAGCAAGCUUUUCAUUCUUCAAGAUUGACCAUCUUGGAACCAACUAUGCUGGACUAGUAAUUAUUAUUGUUUGGCUAGGCUGCAUCACUGCAAAAAUCCUUGAACUCUUCCAUGGAAAAUUUGCAACAUCUCGGUAUAUAAAUGGAAGGAAUAAAAAUUCAUGCAUACACAGCUCAUCAUUUCACAUGUUAUUAUUGUUUGGAUCUUUUAAGUAAAAAACAAGUUGUCGAAAUUUUAUUGAGAAACUUUGGAGUUAGGAUCAUAUUCUAUAGUUCCCAGAACUAAUUAAAUUUGUCUUUCUCUGUUUCUGUAAUCCUUAAAUUCAUUGUUUUUUCUUUUUAAUUUCUCUACUGUUUUUAACUUGUUAUUUCAGUUUCAACCUUCCCUUUUACAAUUAAUGUAACCUCCAUUAAUUUAUAUUCAAUAUUUUGACCCUGAUUGAUCCAUUUUGGCAUCAUGUUGACAGAUCCUUUUCUUUUCUUUUCUUUUCUACAGAGCCACUGAUCAAAAUGUUUCGACGGGAUGGUCCAGUUUUGCAUCGUGUCAAACAACACAACUAUUUUCCUUUCCACAUCUCAUCACAAUGAACUAGCUUAACCUAUACUCUUCUCAGAUCUGUGCUUCUUCU
rnacentral:lncRNA from 1 species